UGAGUGUCACUUUCCAAAGAGAAGAAAAUUGAUCUUUUCAAAAGGGGAUACGAAUACAAAUCUAGACAUCUCAAAUCAGACUUUUUUCAUCUGAAAAGGAAAAUUGUUUUGUUGUGUGAUUGAAGCAUGGGACCACCAAAACUUGGUUCCUCGUUGCUGGCAAAGAAACUGGAUUGUUUUCUUCUUCUCCUUCUGGUCUGUUGCGCAUUCAUUAUCCCUCCUGCUCAACAAUCUAGUCCAACAACAGCGACCACACCAGCAACCACACCUCAGACCACCACUACGAUUAUUACUGCAACAACUACUCCUGCAACAACCAUCC